rnacentral:tRNA from 1 species
AUAUAUCUAGUAUAAAAGUAUAUUUGACUUCCAAUCGAACGGUUCAAUAAUUGAGAUAUAUA